UGCCGGAAUAGCUCAGUUGGUAGAGCAGAGGACUGAAAAUCCUC
rnacentral:tRNA from 2 species